UACGGGGGGGGUAAGCGUUGUUCGGAAUUACUGGGCGUAAAGCGUGCGCAGGCGGUUUGCUAAGACAGGUGUGAAAUCCCCGGGCUUAACCUGGGAACUGCGCUUGUAACUGGCAAGCUUGAGUGUGGCAGAGGGGGGUGGAAUUCCACGUGUAGCAGUGAAAUGCGUAGAGAUGUGGAGGAACACCGAUGGCGAAGGCAGCCCCCUGGGCUAACACUGACGCUCAUGCACGAAAGCGUGGGGAGCAAACAGG
rnacentral:rRNA from 1 species